UGUAAGCGUAUACCAAAGUUGUUGCAGUUAAAACGCUCGUAGUCGGAAUUUGGCAGUUCCGGAUGUGUGCACGUCGUGUGCGCACUUCGCGGGGAUUGCUUUUGUGGUCUUGCGUAGGAUGAGGCACUUUUAUUAGUGAACGUCCUCACGCAACCACUUUUCACUGUGAGAAAAUCAGAGUGCUCAAAGCAGGCAUUUGCCGUGAAUGUAUUAGCAUGGAAUAAUAGAAUAGGACUUGGUUCUAUUUUGUUGGUUUGUUGGGACUGAGUAAUGAUUAAGAGGGACAGUUGGGGGCAUUUGUAUUUCGGUGCUAGAGGUGAAAUUCUUAGAUUACCGAAAGACAAACUGCUGCGAAGGCGUCUGCCAAGGAUGUUUUCAUUGA
rnacentral:rRNA from 1 species